ACUCUUUUGAUGAGCGCGAAAGGAAACGGCUCCGGGACUUAUUUGCAGAACCAACAGACGAAGACUCCUUUGAGGGUUUUACCGAGGGAAUGGAGGAAGAGAUGGUUAGCUCAGAGGAGGAUGACAUGGAAUGGACUCAUGUGAGGGAGGAUUUGGGUGUCACUGGCAAUGAUAGCAUGGGAGGCGACUGGCGGGUUGCAGGAUCGGACCCGUGGACGGGCUGGAGGGAUGGAACGGGAUCCACAGCUGGGGAUGCUGUGGGGCGUAGUCAAAGGUGUUUUAGUUCUGAUGAGGAUGAUGAUGAGGAGGCACCUGGAAUUAGGAUAGCAGCUGACAGCGAUGAGGAGUUAUGAACUGGCAUAAAAUGGGGUCUAGAAUCAAUGGCUAAUUGCGUUGGGCAAGGUAAUCUGGACGAACGCUUGGGCUCUUGUUGGGGAACUUCCUGAAGACGGGUGUGAUUCGUUUGCUGGAUACCUUGGACCUCCGUCGUCUUUUUGACGGACAUUAUUUGCCAACUCUGGAUUGACGCUGGACUGACUGACUGACUACGACUCUGGACUAUCCCUUCUGUGGCUAUCGGUGGAACUUGUGGAACCUUAGACGUCUGCGCUUGGCUUUCGACCUCGGACCGGAUUGGGACCCUGCUGACCGUCGUUACCCUGAUUGAUGUGCCUGGACCUGGUUUUCGCCCGUUGCACGGAGGAGCAACAGCCCGAGUUACUUCUGUAGCUCUUGAGUAGCAGAGGGAAAUCUGCUGCUGGGUUUUGUGUUCAUUUUGACCUUUUGUUUACCAGUUUUUGUUUGUUUAACUGCCAGGCUGAAGUAAGCACCUUUGAUUUAACCCGGAUUAAACUUCUGUUUAAUCCGGUUUAUUCUUUUGAACUGUUUAAACUCAAACGAAGCUAUUUUUGUUACUUUUCAUACUGAAGACAAGUGUUUGCCUAGUCUUUUGUUUCCUACGGGCAAUUUUUAGUUCUGUAACCUCAAUAAACUGUGUUGUAUUCUA